CAGCAGCCGCGGGAACACGAAGGGGGCUAGCGUUGUUCGGAAUUACUGGGCGUAAAGCGCACGUAGGCGGAUAUUUAAGUCAGGGGUGAAAUCCCAGAGCUCAACUCUGGAACUGCCUUUGAUACUGGGUAUCUUGAGUAUGGAAGAGGUGAGUGGAAUUCCGAGUGUAGAGGUGAAAUUCGUAGCUAUUCGGAGGAACACCAGUGGCGAAGGCGGCUCACUGGUCCAUUACUGACGCUGAGGUGCGAAAGCGUGGGGGGCAAACAGGAUUAGAUACCCCAGUAGUCCCUGUCUCUUAUAC
rnacentral:rRNA from 1 species